AUCACUCGUUGUCUCUCUUUCUUCUUCUCCCUCUCCGCCAUUAAACUUCUUCUUCUCCCUCACCAUCAUUAAACCUUCGAACAGAGCCCCUUUCUACAGGAUCAGGUUUUAAGAAGAACAUUCAACUGGUUAAGCACUUUCAAUUGAUCUCGAAGAUAAUGAGAAAACAACACAUCGAAUUCCAAAAGGUUGUUCUUAAUAUUUCUGUUGGUGAAUCUGGAGAUCGUCUCAUCGGAGCUGCUAAGGUUUUGGAACAAUUUGGUGAUCAAACCCCAGGUUUCUCCAAGGUUAGGUACACUGUCAGAUCUUUUGGAAUCAGGCGUAAUGAAAAGAUUGCUUGUUACGUUUCUGUGAGAGGUGAGAAAGGUAUGCAGCUUGUUGAAAGUGGAUUGAAGGUUAAGGGAUACGAGUUAGGAUAAACUUGAGUAAUACAGUAUAUUUUGGAUUGUUCUUGGAAUUAAGUUGCUCAAGGUGCAGUUACUGCUAAAUGAUCGUGGACUCGACUGGAGUUCAAAAGUUUUAAAUAGCAAUUCGUUAACACUCCGCGAAUGACCUUCAGAUUAUAUUUCCCCAAAGCCUAUUUAAGUCAGUCCGUCGUCCCAUGGAACGAUUUAAAUGUGCUCGUGGUGCAGCGAACCAACUUAGUAUCCUAUGAGCGAUAAGUACAAAUGAACAAGAUGGUGCCGCUAGAGCAGCUACUCGAGCAAGUUUCGAUACUGGCUACUGCUUGUUCCUGCAAUAGUGAUUAAUGGUCAAGAAAAUAGGGCAGCGCAAGUGUUUUGUACUACACAUGUUUCGUUCUUCAGAUUUGUUUGAAGACUUAUCCUUAUGGAGGCUGUGUACAGCGGUGAUGAUAGGAAGGAAUCUAAAUUGAAAAGAGCUCCUCAUGGCAAGGUACCACUGGAAACAUGGUAGAAGUGGAUCUGGAGUUUUUCGGUUGCAACAAGCUGGGGACGAGUUGCGCCUUAGCAGAAUCUCAUAAGCAGUUAUUUGAAUAUGUCAGCAACUUGAUCUCAGAUAACAGUCUUGAGGUAUAAGGUACCUUGGACUUGAAGUACUGGUGCUUGCAGAAGUAGGCCUACUCUUUGUGAUGUAUUUUCAACUUAUCUUUCAUGUAUACAUAUCUUUUAUUCCAACAAUAAAGUGGCAGUAUUAUGUAUUGAUGGUUUGGAAAAGUUUGGUUGAACCUAA